UACGUAGGGUGCGAGCGUUAAUCGGAAUUACUGGGCGUAAAGCGUGCGCAGGCGGUUUUGUAAGACAGAUGUGAAAUGCCCGGGCUUAACCUGGGAACUGCAUUUGUGACUGCAAGGCUAGAGUGUGUCAGAGGGGGGGUAGAAUUCCACGUGUAGCAGUGAAAUGCGUAGAGAUGUGGAGGAAUACCGAUGGCGAAGGCAGCCCCCUGGGCUAACACUGACGCUCAUGCACGAAAGCGUGGGGAGCAAACAGG
rnacentral:rRNA from 1 species